CAGAGCCCCCAGGGCCCCCAGCCACGUCCCUCCCCCCCCGCCCCGAUCCACGCGCAGGGCGGGGCAGCCCUUCGGGCGGACGGACGGACCCAGGGACCGGCCCAGGCAGGGAUGGCCUUAGCAGACACCCUGAAAGGGCUGCUAGCCUCGUUGGAACACCACUCUGCCUGCAGAAGUCCCAGCUCCAGGGGUGCCAGGCAUAGACUGCAGAACUCAACACCGAUGAAUCUACUCAUGGAUCAUUCCAAAUGGAGCUGGACAGUCAGUACAGAAGCCAAGACUCCUCUGUGUGGGAUACAGCAUCCAGUCACUCCCCUCGGAUCAUCAGUCAAUAAGGAGGGCCUCACAGACCAUCAAGACUUUGGUUUAUUAAUUUAUGUACAGCCUGACCUACAAACUCAUGAUUCUCUGAAGGGGAGCCAGGACACGCCAGAACCAGUCAGUGGAUACACAAGUUGAGCGCCCUAGGAAAUGCUGCAUCCAGGAUCAAGUCUCUCCAGGUUGGUUAUGGGCAGGAGGUCACAUCCUACUUCUUGAUCAUUACUGUAUUCCUUACAGGGAGGUGCUCAGCUAUCUUCUAUAAACAACCUUUACUUAACCAAACCAAAAACUAUAAACUAUUCAGAGAGAAACCUAUUCAUGUCCUCUUGACUAUUAAAAAUCCAAUUUAUCAUUAAUUCAGACAAUUUUAUA